CAGCCGCCGCGGGAAUACGUAGGUGGCAGGCGUUGUCCGGAAUUAUUGGGCGUAAAGCGCGCGCAGGCGGCCUAUCCAGUCUGUCUUAAAAGUUCGGGGCUCAACCCCGUGAUGGGAUGGAAACUAGUAGGCUAGAGUAUCGGAGAGGAAAGUGGAAUUCCUAGUGUAGCGGUGAAAUGCGUAGAUAUUAGGAAGAACACCAGUGGCGAAGGCGGCUUUCUGGACGAAAACUGACGCUGAGGCGCGAAAGCCAGGGGAGCGAACGGGAUUAGAUACCCCCGUAGUCCCUGUCUCUUAUACA
rnacentral:rRNA from 1 species